rnacentral:rRNA from 1 species
GUUGUAGCAAUACAAGGCGGACGGCUCAGUAACACGUAGUCAACCUAACCUAUGGACGUGGAUAACCUCGGGAAACUGAGAAUAAACCACGAUAGAUCAUUAUGCCUGGAAUGGCUUAUGGUCCAAACAAUUUAUUGCCGUAGGAUGGGACUGCGGCCUAUCAGCUUGUUGGUGAGGUAAUGGCCCACCAAGGCUAUAACAGGUACGGGCUCUGAGAGGAGAAGCCCGGAGAUGGGUACUGAGACACGGACCCAGGCCCUAUGGGGCGCAGCAGGCGAGAAACCUUAGCAAUGUGCGAAAGCACGACUAGGUUAAUCCGAGUGAUUUCUGUUGAAGAAAUCUUUUGUCAGUCGUAAAACCACAGACGAAUAAGGGGUGGGCAAGUCUGGUGUCAGCCGCCGCGGUAAUACCAGCACCUCGAGUGGUCAGGAGGUUUAUUGGGCCUAAAGCAUCCGUAG